AAACAUUUAAGCGUGUUAAUUAUCGCUCGCUAGGCUGCCGGCCCAGAAUGCAUCCUUAGACACAUCCUCAGAGCAUGCGCAGACCAGCUGGCUGGAGUGUUUACGGACAUAAACUCCAAAAGGAAGGAGCUGAUCGUGGACUUCAGGAGACGAAAGAGGGAGCACGACCCCAUCCACAUCGACGGGCCUGCAGUGGAGAAAGUGAAAAGAGAUUUUCUUGGCUCCAGCGACACAAUCCCUUUAUUGACUGGGCUACUGGUGCCAUUGUGGGCUGGAGCCCGUCCUGCCACACUCAUUGCCUGAAGUUAGCUCUGCCUGCCCUGGGACGUCUUCCUGGGGGCUUGGAAAUUGCCCCGGAACUUUCCGCCAGCCCCGCGGUGUACCAGGACCUCCGGGAGGUGUUCAAAGGUUCGACCUCGGGGCAGGGGAUUCCAGUACCUGGUUGACUGGGAGGGUUGGGUCUUACCUUAAACGUGAUAAUACCAGGGAGUGUCAGAGGAAGGUCCUAAAAAUUGUCAAAGACUCCAGCUACCCUAGUCAUAGACCGUUCUCUCUGCUACCACACAGCAACCAGUACCGGAGCGCCAAGUCUAGGUCCAAGAGGCUUCUAAACAGAUUCUACCCCCAAGCCAUGAGACUUCUGAACAUCUAAUCAAAUGGCUACCCAGACUAUUUGCAUUGCCUCCCCACCUUUUACACUGCUGCUACUCUGUUAUUAUCUAUGCAUAGUCACUUUAAUAACUCUACCUACAUCAAAUCAAACUUUAUUUGCCACAUGCGCUUUAUACAAGUGUAGACUUUACUGUGAAAUGCUUACUCACAAGCCCUUAACCAACAGUGUAGUUCAAGAAAAAUGUAAUAUUUACGAAGUAGGCUAAAUUUAAAAGUAAUAAUAAAAAGUAACACAAUAAGAAUAACGAGGCUAUAUACAGGGGGCACCAGAACCGAGUCAGUGUGCAGGGGUACAGGCAAGUUUAGGUGAUCUGUACAUGUAGGUGGGGGCGAAGUGACUAUGCAUAGAUAAACAAACAGCGAGUAGCAGCAGUGUACAAGAGGGGAGGGGGUGUCAAUGUAAAUUGUCCGAUGCGGUUGCAGAGAAAACAGUCUAUAACUUGGGUGACUGGAGUCUCUGACAAUUUUAUGGGCUUUCCUGACACCACCCAUUAUAUAGGUCCUGGAUGGCAGGAAGCUUGGCCACAGUGAUGUACUGGGCCGUAUGCACUACCCUCUGUAGCGCCUUACGGUCAAAUGCCGAGCAGUUGCCAUACCAGGCCGUGAUGCAACCGGUCAGGAUGCUCUCAAUGGUGCAGCUGUAGAACCUUUUGAGGAUCUGGGGGCCCAUACCAAAUCUUUUGAGUCUCCUGAGGGGGAAAAAGGUUUUGUCGUGCCCUCUUCACGACUGUCUUGGUAUGUUUGGACCAUGUUAGUUUGUUGGUGAUGUGUAGACCAUGUACACCAAGGAACUUGAGACUCUCAACCCGCUCCACUACAGCCCCGUCGAUGUUAUUGGGGGCCUGUUCGGCACGCCUUUUCCUGUAGUCCAUGAUCAGCUCCUUUGUCUUGCUCACAUUGAGGGAGAGGUUGUUGUCCUGGCACUACACUGCCAGUUCUCUGACCUCCCUAUAGGCCGUCUCAUCGUUGUCGGGGUACAUAUUACCUCGACUAACCGGAGCCCCCUCACAUUGACUCUGUACCGGUACUCCCUGUAUAUAGCCUCACUAUUGUUAUUUUACUGUUGAAUUAUUUGUUACUUUUAUUUCUUAUUUUCUAGUUAUUUUUCUUAACUGCAUUGUUGGUUUAGGGCUUGAUGGUAAGCAUUUCACUGUCAGGUUUACACCAAUUGUAUUCAGCACAUGUGACAAAUCAAAUUUGAUGAUACCGGUAUGGUAGACCCCAGUCAGUGAGGUUGACCUAUAUCUGAUAUGUUUUUGUAAACUCAACUAAGUUAAGCCAGAUGGUACGCUUUUUGGGGAGGUAAGUGCUAGCAACAACAUUGAGUGAAGAUUUUGAAGAAUGCCUAUUGAGCCUUCAACCUUUCUAAUCUUGGACACCCAGCGGAUCUGUCCACAAGAGAUUACCGCCUUUUGUGACAGUUAUUACUUAAAUCGGAUGUAGCUGAGAAGAAACUAAACACUAAAUUGGUCAUUUCAGUGGAGACUUUCCCAUUUGAAACAAGCAUGGUAACAAGCAUUUGUUGUUACACCCCUGUAAUUACAGACUGCAAUUACCACCAGUUACAUGUUAUUACAGUGUAAAUAUGAGUUAUUACAAUUAACUCCAAUACUUUACAAUGUAAUUACACAGUAAUAAGGACCCCUUAAAAUGAAGUGUUACCCAUUUUAUACGUCACCCUUUUGUAUCAAUUGCAAAGUGUAUUUGUAGUCUACUUUGUUUUGAAGUUAUAGCCAGUCACAGAGAGGCCCACGGGAGGGCAAAAGAGCAUCCAACGACGCACUUAGCUGUUCUACGAGUGGUCUGAGGCAGGCGUUAGAUUACGAGCAUUUUCAAGUGCAACCUUAAUAAAUAUGGUUUUGGGAAACAGCUCAGAGAUUUAACGAUGCUCCUACAAAGAUCCUUUUGGGGAAACUUGGCCCAGUACCAUUUUCAUCUCAUUUGAUGAAACAACCUGUUAGUCAGGUUAAGUCAUUGUAUUUAAAUUAAAGUUUUACACUCAUUUCAAUGUUUACAACACUGGUGGAAAUGAGAUAAAAAAAAACAGUACUGAUUGACAUCUUUGCAAAUCCAAAUGUGUUUCCCACGUAGAUUCCACAUCACAAUAAGUUGACAAAUUACGUUGAAACAACGCUGAUUCACUUACAGAUCAGAGAAGACUAGAAUCUCACCAGAUACAAAGUAAGUGAUAGAUAUGGUGGAGGGUGGUUCGCCUAUUGUGAUGCGGAAAACACAUUUAAAUUUGAUAAAAUGUAUCAAUCAGUACUGUUUAUAUCAUUUCACUCUUACGAAAAAAAUUGCAUUCAGAGUGCAGUAUAGCUGCAGUAUGCUGCAAAUACUGCAUCCAAAAUACCAUAGUCAAAUGCAGUUACUGCACUACAAAAACCUUUUAUUGGCCUAAUAAGAAAUGUCAUGUAACGGUAAAAAUGAAUAUCCUUUUAAUGUGGCAUAAACACAAACAGUCAUGUUUUAAUCUGAUUGUCAUACAAAUUACUUUAAAAAGUAGGCUACCUGUGCAUGUUAGUCCACUCCAAAACAAUUCCAGCAUCCAAACAGUGCACUGCAUGUAUACUCGUGCCAUUUGAUGAAUGGAAAUAGACAUCUGUUUACAAAACACCAAACAGUGUGCCUGUUUCAGUGAUUGCCAUUGAUUAGGCCUACAUUAAUUGACAUCUUGUCUGACAAAUGUACCUUUUUUUUGCAGCAUGAAAAGCCGGGACACGUGAAAUGGGUCUGAAACUGUCGUGGGUAAAAUGGGAUGGUCAGCCUAACACACACAGUCAAUUUACUAGACUAAGCUACAAUGUGGUGUUACCAUGAACUUCCAAUAGGCAGUGAUGUGGUGGUAAAACAAACAAACAGGUAGGCUACAUUCAAUAUAAUAGGCCUGAAAGAGUUUAAUCAAGACACGUUUACACCCUAGUUCAUGAGUUAAAUACUUGGGAGUCUUCACAGAUCAUGUGACAUAAAACACUACCUUUACUUACAUUAAUAACAUGUAUGACAGUGCCAUGUCAUUAUAAAGCGUUUAACAAUUGAAUUUGAACAUUAAACUUAAACCCUGUAGGAAUCAUGGAUAUCUCUGGAAGUGCACGGUAAGUGUAACUAUGCCUAUGUAUUCAUUAUGUUUCGCUGUAGAGGUCAACACAGCCCCCAAAAGGACUAUUCUUAUCAGCUGUAUGCAAGUAUUCCUUUGUGUUGUCUUCAGAAUGCUUCAUUAUCUUGCCAAACCACAUUGUCACAUCUCUGAGAAGCAGAGGUUCUGUUGUGGUUGCAUCAAAUAGGUCUGACAUCUGAUUGGAGGUUAACUUUACAGUAAUACUAUUGGUCAACAAAGAUGCUUAUAAAAGUGUCUUAGAUGCAUUGUUAUUUUUCUCUCUAUUGUUCCUCAACUGCUGUGGUGAGAUUCUCUCUCCACCACAUGGACAUCUGGGGCAUAGCCUUUCAGGCUAUGAUAUCUCUCUCUCUCUCUGAGUGGCGCAGCGGUGUAAGGCACUGCAUCUCAGUGCAAGAGGCGGCACUACAGUCCCUGGUUCAAAUCCAGGCUGUAUCACAUCUGGCCGUGAUUUGGACUCCCAUAGGGCGGCGCACAAUUGGCCCAGCGUUGUCUGGGUUUGGCCACCAUUGUAAAUAAGAAUUUAUUCUUAACUGACUUGCCUAGUUAAAUAAAGAAUAAUGCUCUGUUAAUGUUAGUAUUGCCUUGUAACUUAAGCUUUAUGCCUUAUGUGAAUCCAUACAUUUAACAAAGUAAUUAAAUACACUUGUAUUUGGAAUUACAUUAUCAGAUAUUUCAUCAUUGCCUAUUACUGUAAGGCAACUAAUCUCCUGCAUAUUGCUAUUUAUCUUUUGGAAUCAGAUAAACAUUUUAAUACACUAA